rnacentral:rRNA from 1 species
UACGUAGGGCGCAAGCGUUGUCCGGAAUUAUUGGGCGUAAAGAGCUCGUAGGCGGUUUGUCGCGUCUGCUGUGAAAACCUAAGGCUCAACCUUGGGCUUGCAGUGGGUACGGGCAGACUAGAGUGCGGUAGGGUGACUGGAAUUCCUGGUGUAGCGGUGGAAUGCGCAGAUAUCAGGAGGAACACCGAUGGCGAAGGCAGGUCACUGGGCCGCAAACUGGACGCUGAGGGGCGAAAGCAUGGGGAGCCGAACAGG